GACGAACGCUGGCGGCGUGCUUAACACAUGCAAGUCGAACGGAAAGGCCCGGCUUUUGGGGGGUGCUCGAGUGGCGAACGGGGGAGUAAAACGUGAGUAACCUGCCCUUGCCUUUGGGAUAACUUCAGGAAACUGGGGCUAUUACCGGAUAGAAGCUCCUGCGCCAUGGGGGGGGUUGGAAAGUUUCGGCGGUUGGGGAUGGACUGGCGGCUUAUCAGCUUGUUGGUGGGGUAGUGGCUUACCAAGGCUUUGACGGGUAGCCGGCCUGAGAGGGUGACCGGCCACAUUGGGACUGCGAUACGGCCCAGACUCCUACGGGAGGCAGCAGUGGGGAAUAUUGCACAAUGGGCGGAAGCCUGAUGCAGCAACGCCGCGUGCGGGAUGACGGCCUUCGGGUUGUAAACCGCUUUCGCCUGUGACGAAGCGUGAGUGACGGUAAUGGGUAAAGAAGCACCGGCUAACUACGUG
rnacentral:rRNA from 1 species